UUGAAUGAAGAUGUGACAGUAGUGG
rnacentral:piRNA from 1 species